rnacentral:rRNA from 1 species
CUACGGGCGGCUCCAGUGAGGAAUAUUGCACAAUGGGGGGAACCCUGAUGCAGCAACGCCGCGUGGAGGAUGACGCAUUUCGGUGUGUAAACUCCUUUUAUAUGUCAAGGAAAUGACGGUAGCAUAUGAAUAAGCACCGGCUAACUCCGUGCCAGCAGCCGCGGUAAUACGGAGGGUGCAAGCGUUACUCGGAAUCACUGGGCGUAAAGGACGCGUAGGCGGGUUGGAAAGUCAGGUGUGAAGUCCUACAGCUUAACUGUAGAACUGCACUUGAAACUUCUAAUCUAGAGUAUGGGAGGGGGAGAUGGAAUUAGUGGUGUAGGGGUAUAAUCCGUAGAUAUCACUAGGAAUACCUAAAGCGAAGGCGAUCUCCUGGAACAUUACUGACGCUAAAGCGUGAAAGCGUGGGGAGCAAACAGGAUUAGAUACCCGUGUAGUC